rnacentral:sRNA from 1 species
GUAGGGUGAGAAUGAAUAUGGAGC